UACGUAGGGGGCAAGCGUUGUCCGGAAUCAUUGGGCGUAAGAGCGUGUAGGCGGUCCGGUAAGUCCGCUGUAAAAGUCAAGGGCUCAACCCUUGAAGCCGGUGGAUACUGCCGGGCUAGAGUCCGGAAGAGGCGAGUGGAACUCCUGGUGUAGCGGUGAAAUGCGUAGAUAUCGUAAGGAAGACCAGUGGCGAAGGCGGGUCUCUGGACAGUUCCUGACGCUGAGGCACGAAGGCCGGGGAGCAAACGGG
rnacentral:rRNA from 1 species